rnacentral:lncRNA from 13 species
CUCUCUCUCUCUCUCUCUCUCUCUCUCUCUCUCUCUCUCUCUCUCUCUCUCUCUCUCUCUCUCUCUCUCUCUCUCUCUCUCUCUCUCUCUCUCUCUCUCUCUCUCUCUCUCUCUCUCUCUCUCUCAGCAUGCUCACCAACACCCGUAGACAAGGCUUCGUCUUGUGUUUUUAAAGCAGAUAUUUGAUGCAAAGAUGGCUUGUUUUCUGUGUGUGCGAUAGGUGAGUAGUGUAAAAUUUGCCAAGGUUGGCUGAGGACAGAUAAGAGUUGCAAAUGCAUUAUAAUGAAGGAAGCGGUCAUGCUCAAGCUGUUCUUUAUCUCCUCCUCAUUUUGUAAUAAAAAUGAGUGUUUGGAACGGGACCCGGAGGAAUACAAUACUACGUUUCCUGCAUUAAAGAGGAAGUUGGCGCAAAGGAAGGAGGAGCAGGAAGCAGGCUAUGUCCAGGCAUGUAAUGUACUGUACUGUAUCUCUGUAUGGUACAGACUAGAGAAGUCCAACUCCUAAACCCUGUUCACUGACUCCACACUGCCAGGUACUGUAACCUCUUACCACUGCCUCUCAGCCCCUGAGCUCCCCUCUGAUUAAUCCCAGCAGCACCUGCAUCUUUUUUAAUGCUAGCAUUACUGCACUUGUAUCCCUUCCAAAAAGGGUUGAGGAAACUGUAAAAGCUGCACUUUUAAUUUCAUUUUUUUUUGCUAAGGGAGGAGAAUUGUACAUUUUGGUAUUACGUAAAAGUUCCAGGGUUUUAAGAAAAAUAAAUGUUGUGGUUGCAUUUGCAGAAUGUGUGUCAGAAGGAGUUCAGUAGAGGGAGGUGCAGAAACAGUAGUCAGCUUUGGGCAUUGUGCCAGCCAGAAGAUAAAUGUAGCCUAGGUGUCCAAUUCAUUUUUGUUAUUCAAAAGCCAUAAUUAAGAGCUGAGAAUGUUCUCUACAGAUCCAUUUCCCCAAUUAAAUAUUGCAUUAUUUAGUUUAGUACAUAGCUAUUAGAUAGUAAUUACACAAUGUAAUUUGAAAAGUGGAUACCAGUUGCUGAUUGUGAUCAGAAUGUAUAUAUUGACAUGGUGGUGCAUUAAUACUUAGUCCAGUUAUGUUGCCCAUGGUCUC